rnacentral:rRNA from 1 species
GAUGAACGCUGGCGGCGUGCCUAAUACAUGCAAGUCGAGCGAACAGACGAGGAGCUUGCUCCUCUGACGUUAGCGGCGGACGGGUGAGUAACACGUGGAUAACCUACCUAUAAGACUGGGAUAACUUCGGGAAACCGGAGCUAAUACCGGAUAAUAUAUUGAACCGCAUGGUUCAAUAGUGAAAGACGGUUUUGCUGUCACUUAUAGAUGGAUCCGCGCCGCAUUAGCUAGUUGGUAAGGUAACGGCUUACCAAGGCAACGAUGCGUAGCCGACCUGAGAGGGUGAUCGGCCACACUGGAACUGAGACACGGUCCAGACUCCUACGGGAGGCAGCAGUAGGGAAUCUUCCGCAAUGGGCGAAAGCCUGACGGAGCAACGCCGCGUGAGUGAUGAAGGUCUUCGGACCGUAAAACUCUGUUAUUAGGGAAGAACAAAUGUGUAAGUAACUAUGCACGUCUUGACGGUACCUAAUCAGAAAGCCACGGCUAACUACGU